rnacentral:rRNA from 1 species
UACGAGGGGGGCGAGCGUUGUUCGGAAUUAUUGGGCGUAAAGGGUGCGUAGGCGGUUUCGCAAGUCAUGUGUGAAAUCUUCGGGCUUAACUCGAAGCCUGCACGGGAAACUGCGGGGCUUGAGUGUGGGAGAGGUGAGUGGAAUUCCCGGUGUAGCGGUGAAAUGCGUAGAUAUUGGGAGGAACACCAGUGGCGAAGGCGGCUCACUGGACCGGUACUGACGCUGAGGCGCGAAAGCGUGGGGAGCAAACAGG